rnacentral:lncRNA from 1 species
GUGUGUGUGUGUGUUUAACAGGGUGUGACGUCAGCCCUGUACGAGUACGCGUGUGAUUUCUCGGAAGCCCAUGAAGUCGACCGACAGACUAACAGCGAAAGUGAAAGAAAAAGAAUAUUGGGCUCAGACACAAACACGCUGUGACGUUUUGUAGACUUUGGCACCAGGAGAGAAAAACAUGAAAUUCGACGUUGAGACUGUCGCCGCGACAGAGACAGUCCCUGAACAGCGACAGCUGGGUCUGGAGACGGGGGAGACGGGCUCUGGAUCAUGGCUCUCCUCCCUCAGAGCAGCAGGUGCCGGAGCUGGGAGGACCCUCAGAGCUUUGUCACGCCCCCUUUGGAAUGCGGUGCUGUCCGUACCCCCAGUCCGCUGGUC